CUUGAGGUCUAUCCCUAUGGGGCCUUUCUUGUGGCCACACAUUGUUGGAAACGCCUCAUAGCGUAACAUUGGUUUUGCUUUGGUCAUGGGUCUAUUUAAUAGGCCUGUGAUAAGGCACUACAAGACAGCA
ensembl:snoRNA